rnacentral:rRNA from 1 species
CCUACGGGAGGCAGCAGUGGGGAAUAUUGGGCAAUGGAGGCAACUCUUAUCCAGCAAUGCCGCGUGAAUGAAGAAGGUCUUCGGAUUGUAAAGUUCUUUCAUCGGGGACGAAAAAAAUGACGGUACCCACGGAAUAAGCUCCGGCUAACUACGUGCCAGCCGCCGCGGUAAUACGUAGGGGGCAAGCGUUGUUCGGAAUGACUGGGCGGAAAGGGCGUGUAGGCGGGGUAGCAAGUUAGCAGGGAAAUACCUAGGGCUUAACUCGGGUGCUGCUUCUAAUACUGGUAUACUUGAGUGCAGUAGAGGAGAGUAGAAUUCCUGGUGUAGCGGUGGAAUGCGUAGAGAUUAGGAGGAACAUCAGUGGCGAAGGCGACUUUCUGGACUGUAACUGACGCUGAGGCGCGAAAGUGUGGGGAGCAAACAGGAUUAGAUACCCUUGUAGUC